CUGAAAUGUCUGUUGUGACAGGUGUCAGGGUUGGCGGAUACUGAUCCAUGCUGGUAACAAUGCCCAGACCCAGGAGGUUGGGUGCCUUUGCCUGUCAGGCUGGUAGUAUAGAUGGAGUUACAAUGUAACAGGGUGGUUUUACAGAAGAGCCAAUCAGGUCCUCCAAGAAUUGACAAUUUACUUGAGAAAUUAGUCUAAAUGUCAUACUGCAUUGUUGUCCUAUAUAUGGGUGCAUUUAUCUAAGGUUAUUUUGGGUGCCUCACUUUUCUUUUAAAGAUUAUGAAUUUCAACAAAUUUCACAAUUACAUGCAACUAUAGUGUACCAAAAAAUAUGGAAAAAAUGAAAACUUCAAAAAAUUAUUCACAAAAAUUAUGAAUUCAAUUCUAUUUUGAAAUUUGCAAAUAUUUAUCAAAAUGUAGGAGAUCUCCCAGAUGAUUAGUCUUUGCACUGCAGGGAUAAUACCACAAAAUAAGCAACAUACUUUUUAAUGAUUGCAACAGAAGGUUCAGUGAAACGUUACAGUGUUAUGUUAGGGAACAUAAUUGCCUGUAUACAGCAUUUAUAAUUUAGAUAGGGCUUUCACUAGAUUAUUUAUGUAUUCCUCACUGCAGUUCUAAGGAGAUGCUAUUUUCCUUGUUCCACUUUGGAGUGUUCUAGUGGAAUUGAUAAAGGAAUUACAACUUCCUCUGCCAAAAUAAACAAAUGAUAAGUUGUCUAAAAGGGAAAAAAGUAGACUUUUUUUUUUCUUUUUUGGUAUCUGUAGAUUUAAUGUGUUCCUAUUUUCCUUUGAGAAUUAUUAAGUAAGUGAUGUAAAAAGCAGAAAUUCCCAUCUGUAAUAUCUUCCAUGAGGUUCUGUUUCUCUGGAACAUACAUCCUACUUAAGAUUGCAUUCUCCCUCUGCUCCUCAAUCCCACCUCAAAACUCAUCAUGUAAUGAGGUUUUGGAGAACAAUGCCUCUCAUCUAAUAUUCUGCUUCUUCCUUGGCCACAGUGUGUCAAAGUGUAAUUACAGAAUAAUGAGGCCAGCUCAAAGGUAUUGUAUGACUUUUAGAAUCCAGUCUUAGUCCUUGGUAGACACAUAGCACAUGUUAUAACUAGAUGAUUGAGAAUAUGUUUGUUAUAUGUUUUUGAUCUGUGCUUGUUUCUAUCUCCAUUUGACUAUUGGCUCUUUGACUCAGGAGGAAAAAUGCACUCUGUGGUAUUCUUGUACUGGGUAAUCUUAC
rnacentral:lncRNA from 1 species